AACACUUUUAACAUUUUUGUUAACAGCUUUUGGCUUUUUGUGUUCUUGUCGUGUUUUCUUUAAUGAACCCUGUUAUUCACUCACCUUCUAAUGGAGAACAGCUGUAACAUCUGUUUCUCCCCUCUCCUGCACCCACUAUAACGGAUCUACCAAUCUGCUGAUCUGUCCAAUCAGCCCAUCCACCCAUCCAUGCAACAUGCUCUAAUAUAUCUCACUGGCAUUCAGGGACGAACUAAUCUGAUGGAAAGAUGACGCUGUGAUUUCUGGCACUGCUCGGGAACGGGUCUCACAUGAGCGGUGGUGCAGGUUUUAUAGCUCCCCCGGCACAAAGAAGAACGUUUAAAAGGCGCGGCUCAAAUGAGCUUAGCACACUUUAUUACCCAUCUGCAAACAGCUUAGGAGUCAAGAAGCACAUCCUGGACUUGGUGAUGUUCCCGGGGAUGCUGGAGGAUGAGGACAAUUAGCCCCGAGAAACACAAACAGGUGAUGCAAAGCUCAAACUAAAGGUUAAAACAAUAGCUGGUGAUAAUAAAACCUUAUAUAAGGCCCCGUCCCAGCAUGGAGUAGUUAAAUCACAUUAAUGGGAUUAAAGUAUCAAAAGGUUUGUAAUUAUUCACUGCAGCUUUGCUAACGCAACACGGCUCAGGAUUAGAUGGGAUUAUUUAGUUUUGAUGGCUGUAUUUAAAGCAGAUUAAAGUUUUAAUGCAUUAAUCGUUUCAGGAAGCAGAAGGAAAAUAUUCUUUACAUUAUGAAUUAUUUCACAGCAGCUGUGUUGGACGUAAACAUUAACUGUGUCAGUCCAGGUUGGCCUUUCUCUGCUGGCGGUGAAACGACAUCGCUGUAAAUGGAAACGGGUCGGUUUUGAUGUUCCAGUCACGACCAUCAUAAUGGAAGAAGGCUUUACCGACACUGUGGCGGCCACAGCUCCAGGAGGGUUCAUUCCCAUCAAGCAGCAGACGUCCGGUUUCUCGGCCAAAUCGGACUUGUCAGUCCAGAUUCCCUGGAACAGCGACCCAAAUGUGUCAUCGCUCAAAUGAUAAGUAAUCUCCUCAGCAAUCCAACCCCAUUCAAACUCAGAGGGUGGGCGUAAAAGCUCUCCUCUGCUCGGAGUAAUAACUCGUGGAGUUCACUGUGGUGUUUCCAUGUAGGGCACGCUCACCUGCAGCAUGAAGGACAACGCCCCUCCGAGUCUGUGGCGAUUCGUCAACGCAGACAAAACCGCAUCUUCAGUCAACUCGCCCUCAUACUGGAAGCCUUUCUGUCACUAUUUAUCUCCUCUCUCGUGUCCCACAGCGGCAAGCCAAAACACGGGAUUACACAGCAACAGUUUCUGCACUGAAGCUGCCACCAUAACGCUCAAAUGCUAUACCUCCUAUCCAUGGACGUAAUUUUCACUUUAGAAGUGGGGGGGACGGGGGGAUCUUUACAUUAUGCUCCAAUGGGAAACCGGCUUCAACACAAAUGGUUGUUGUUACACCACUCUGUGGGCUCAGCUAGGAAGGAGAGGGGAAUAAACAUAAGAUGGACCAGUAUAACAAAAAGUGACCCUCGUUGGGGAGAAAAAGGCUUGACCAAGCAAAACCAAACUCAAAGUGUCCUUGUAUGUUCAAAGAUUUUAUUACAAAAAAAAAAGGAACCAAAAGAAGGGCAAAAAAACCCUUUUCUAGAAGUUAUCCAACUAAGUUUAAA